rnacentral:rRNA from 1 species
AAACCGGAGGAAGUGGGGAUGACGUCAAGUCCUCAUGGCCCUUAUAGUGGGGCUACACACGUCAUACAAUGGCUGGUACAAAGGGUUGCCAACCGCAGGGGGAGCCAAUCCCAUAAAGCCAGUCGUAGUCCGGAUCGCAGUCUGCAACUCGACUGCGUGAAGUCGGAAUCGCUAGUAAUCGUGGAUCAGCAUGUCACGGUGAAUACGUUCCCGGGUCUU